GGAGUUAUGAAAUGUAUGCGGACGAAUACUCCGCGUACUUGACAAAGGCUCCUAAAGAAGCCACGGCUAAAUCCGUGCCAGCAGCCGCGGUAAUACGGAUGUGGCGAGCGUUAUUCGGAAUCACUGGGCUUAAAGCGCACGUAGGCGGUCUGGCAAGCAGGGUUGUGAAAUCCCUCGGCUCAACCGAGGAACUGCACCCUGAACUGCCUGACUUGAGGGUGGAAGAGGAGAGUG
rnacentral:rRNA from 1 species